rnacentral:misc_RNA from 1 species
AUGGAUCGGAUAUGUCUUGACAAGUCUUGCUAGUUAAAACUUAGAACACAUUAUGGUGCGGAAUGAGGCAUGUUUACUGUUGACAGAUUAGCUUAUUUAGGCAACCAUGUGAAUUCAUAAACAAAAACUUUCUGACCAAUACUAAUGGCAUCAGAUUUGUCAAUUAACUGUAACCGAAAAUCCAAGGACCAACCAAUAUCCAUUGAUAGCUGCCCAACUGCCACAACUUUGAAUGUAGAUAUUUCCUUGUAUGAAUGCUCCAAAUUUUUAGUUCUUUUCUACAAGAACUCAUCACAAAUAAAUCAUUUAUACAUAUUAAGCAGUUGAAUGAAAAGAAAUAUACCUACUUGUGCCAAAUCGAGGUGUUUCACCCUGCACACCACUAAUAGCAGACAUCACUGAUAUAGCUGGAGUCAGAAUACCAUCUCCUAUAACCAUG